GAUGAACGCUGGCGGCGUGCCUAAUACAUGCAAGUCGAGCGAACAGACGAGGAGCUUGCUCGUCUGACGUUAGCGGCGGACGGGUGAGUAACACGUGGAUAACCUACCUAUAAGACUGGGAUAACUUCGGGAAACCGGAGCUAAUACCGGAUAAUAUAUUGAACCGCAUGGUUCAAUAGUGAAAGACGGUUUUGCUGUCACUUAUAGAUGGAUCCGCGCCGCAUUAGCUAGUUGGUAAGGUAACGGCUUACCAAGGCAACGAUGCGUAGCCGACCUGAGAGGGUGAUCGGCCACACUGGAACUGAGACACGGUCCAGACUCCUACGGGAGGCAGCAGUAGGGAAUCUUCCGCAAUGGGCGAAAGCUUGACGGAGCAACGCCGCGUGAGUGAUGAAGGUCUUCGGAUCGUAAAACUCUGUUAUUAGGGAAGAACAAAUGUGUAAGUAACUAUGCACGUCUUGACGGUACCUAAUCAGAAAGCCACGGCUAACUACGUG
rnacentral:rRNA from 1 species